AACGAACGCUGGCGGCAGGCCUAACACAUGCAAGUCGAACGGUAACAGGUUAAGCUGACGAGUGGCGAACGGGUGAGUAAUGCAUCGGAACGUGCCCGAUCGUGGGGGAUAACGCAGCGAAAGCUGCGCUAAUACCGCAUAAGAUCUACGGAUGAAAGCAGGGGACCGCAAGGCCUUGCGCGAACGGAGCGGCCGAUGGCAGAUUAGGUAGUUGGUGGGAUAAAAGCUUACCAAGCCGACGAUCUGUAGCUGGUCUGAGAGGACGACCAGCCACACGGGGACUGAGACAAGGCCCAGACUCCUACGGGAGGCAGCAGUGGGGAAUUUUGGACAAUGGGCGAAAGCCUGAUCCAGCCAUGCCGCGUGCAGGAUGAAGGCCUUCGGGUUGUAAACUGCUUUUGUACGGAACGAAAAGACUCUUUCUAAUAAAGAGGGUCCAUGUCGGUACCGUAAGAAUAAGCACCGGCUAACUACGUGCCAGCCGCCGCCGUAA
rnacentral:rRNA from 1 species